rnacentral:rRNA from 1 species
AUGGCGCCCGGUCUACUUAACCCUUUGACAGUCCUGGAGCAGUGCCAGGUCUCGCCGUCGCCGUCGCCACCGGCCGAGAAGCCACGGACACUGCCGCUCACAUUCUUCGACAUCGUCUUCUGGGACGUCCCGCCCGUGCAGCGCCUCUUCUUCUACGACAACGCCGACCUCCCCGGCGCCCCCGAGUUCCUCCUCCACGAGCUGCCCCUGUUCGAGAAGUCCCUGGCCGCCGCGCUGCACCACUUCUAUCCCUUGGCCGGGACGCUGGUGUGCAGCAUACCGGAGGCCGGGGCGCCCGAGGUUCUGUUCUCGGACGGCGACUCUGUCCGCCUAACGGUUGCGGUGGGCGGCGACGACUUCCAGGACCUCGCCGGCGACCUCGCGCGCGACACCGCGAGGCUCCGUCCGCUGCCGCCUUCUCUGCCGAGACACGGCGGCGGCGGCGGCUCUCGAUGCAGCACGCAGGAUGUCUUUGCCGUCCAGCUCACCGUGUUCCCUCACGCCGGUUUGUGCAUUGGCACGACGCUACACCACGCCGUGGCCGACGGUUCCAGCUACGUGCACUUCAUGAGGACGUGGGCCGCCAUCCACCGCCUCGGCCCCGAGUGCGGCGGGAAGUGGGCCGCGGUGGACGCGCCCCCGCUGCUCGACCGCAGCGUCGUGCGAGACGAUAACGGGCUCCGCGAGGUGUUUCUCCGCGACCACCGGGCUCUUGCGGCGGCCGGCGGCAAGCGGCUCCACGACUGGGACCUCAGUCAACGUCCGGGCGCCGCUGACCUCGCGACGUUCCGGUUCACGGACAGGCUGCUCCGUGGGCUCGGAAGGCAGGUGGACUCGGAGACCACGGCGCGGCGGUGCUCGCCGUACGCAUUGGCGUGCGGUGCUGUCUGGGCAGGCAUCGUGCACGCGCGCGGCAGCAGCGCCAGCUUCGGGUUCGUGACCGGGUGCAAGCCCCGCGCGACACCACCGGUGCCGGGAAACUACUUCGGCAACUGCCUGGGGCUCUGCCGCGUGGGGAAGGAGGAGGAGGCGAAGCUGAGCGGCUGCCUCACCGCGGCCACGGCCUCCGCGGCGAUAUGGCGGGCGAUCGAGGGGCUCGCGGAGCAGGGGCGGGUGUUCCGGGACGCGCGGGGAUGGGUGCGGCUGGUGCGGGAGUACGCGUCGGCGUGCGCGGUGACCGUGGCCGGGUCGCCGAAGCUGGGCGUGUACGCGGCGACGGAUCUGGGAGCGCCGUGGGGACGGCCCCGCAAGGUGGAGAUCGUCUCGGUGGAGCGGACGGGCGCGCUGGCGCUGGCGGAGAGCGGCCGCGACGGGGACGGCGGCAUCGAGGUCGGGCUGGCGCUGCCCCGCGGCGAGAUGGAGGCGUUCCGCGCGUUCUACCAGGACCUGGUUGCCACAGCGUCGUCGUACGAAGCAGCGACCUGA